rnacentral:rRNA from 1 species
UACGUAGGGUGCAAGCGUUAAUCGGAAUACUGGGCGUAAAGCGUGCGCAGGCGGUGAUGUAAGACAGAUGUGAAAUCCCCGGGCUCAACCUGGGAACUGCAUUUGUGACUGCAUCGCUGGAGUGCGGCAGAGGGGAUGGAAUUCCGCGUGUAGCAGUGAAAUGCGUAGAUAUGCGGAGGAACACCGAUGGCGAAGGCAAUCCCCUGGCCUGCACUGACGCUCAUGCACGAAGCGUGG